rnacentral:lncRNA from 1 species
CCUGAACAAGAGCUGAGCUUCUGCUCAGACUCCUCCCUGGAGAGAAAAUCUCUGGGCUGCUGUGCAGCCAUUCUGUGACGAGGAUUCCAGCACCUCGCUUGGUGAGCUGAAGUCUGCUCAGGGGCACAUUUGGAUGGAGGACCCAGGAUUUGGAGAAAGCAGACUCCAGCCCAUCAAAGGCUAUGACCUGGGCUUAGACACAUCAGAGCCUCUGACCAACUCUACAGGCACCUAGAGCAGCAUGACAGAUUGUGCUUUGCUGGGAUGGCCUCUGUGUACCUCCCAUCCCACAGGCUCUUCUUACAGGACUGCAAAACUCCUCCCACUCACAGGCAGGUUUGUCACUCCCAUGCCGCCCAGGAAAGAAACUAAGGAUCCAGUUGAUCCCAGAGCUGGCAGCAUUCCCUUAACAGUGAUGUUUGGCUGGAUCAGUCUCAAGUUCUCUCUGAGUCCAGAGAAAAGAAAAAAGCUGUGAGAGUUUCCUCAAGUGUGAGGACUUUGUGCUGACAGCAGCCACUCGCUGCUGAGGAAGCUGAGGAACAGCAUGUGGCCCCACCCUUCUGGUGACACUUCACAGAGAACUGCCUUCUCAGAGGUCGCAGAGCUGGGCCACCUAGUAACACAGAAGAGCCCUUCAGAGGACAGGGAAGCUUUGGGGAGAUAGGAACAGGCUCCACAACAUCCAGGAGCAGGAAAGGACCCAGCACGUCAUCCCUGUGAGAGGAGACAUCCCCCAGCCAGACUAC